rnacentral:lncRNA from 1 species
CCGGUUGGCCUUGCUGCUGUCCAGCAGUCCAUGCCCUGGUGGAAUGGAUCUUCCCCGAGGACACACGGUGCUGAGUCUCGACCCACAGCAUGAGGUACCGUAUGACCGUCCCCAAGUCGGUGACUACAGUGGCUCCCUAGCAGGUUCCAUUGAUGCCCUGUCCUGUAUCCCAUUGGCUCACCUGAGUUGACCAGCGUUGCAGGCAGCCUACCACCCCAGCCAACUGCCUCUUUCUCUUUCUCUCUUACUUAGGCACCAAGGGAACUUGCUUGAGCAAAUGCCAGUGCAACCAGGCAGGGUACGUGUGUCUGUGUGCCUGUGUAUAAGUUCGUGCACCAGAGUCACCUUCGGCUGAUGGAGAUGACAGUGAGUGGAUAAACGGCCCAGCCCCCUGUCCUCCAGGUGAUUAUUUCAAGGUGUCUUCUGCACAGUUUCUUAGGGAGCCCAAGUGGGAUUGAACCCAUUGUCCGUGGCCAUCCCAGGUUAUUGACAAACACUGUGUUGACUUUCCUUCCUUCCCUGACUCUCUCUCUCCACUGCCUCCCUUAUUUCCUGGGAUCAGCGCCUUGAUGAACCACUGCAUCCGGCCAGGAUCUGCCUCCAGGGAGACCUGAACUAAGACCAGAGAUGCCUGCAAACCAAGGUGGCCUGAUGUGUCAGCUGAGGCAUUUCCCCAUUGGUGGCCAGAGGCUCGCUGGAACACUUUCUUCCCUCUGAGGAGCCCUUAGUGCCUCCCACCCCACCUCCUACCCCUGCACAUCAUAGACCCAGGCCCCAGCCACCAGAGCGAGACCAGUGACUCAUCUGUGAUUCAUCUGAGCACCCCAGCAUUGGCACGUGUCUGAAGACACCAAGUGGAAGUUAUGUCUUCUGUGCCCUCCUGAUGAGGGGUGAAAGCUGAAGGCGCUGGUCUCUGGCCCAUCCUCUUCCUCUUUUCAUAUGUAGAUGAGUGUCUUCAGAGGCCUGAAUUCCUGUUGUGUGUUAUAAUUUUUUUAAGUUUAUUUAUUUUGAGAGAGAGAGAGACAGAGAGAGAGAAUAUGAGCUAGGGAGGGGCAGAGAGAGCGGGGGACAAAGGAUCUGAAGCAGGUUCCACAUUAUCAGUGCAGAACCCUUUGUGGGGCUCAAUCUUAUGAGCCUCAAGAUCAUGACCUGGGCCGAAAUCGAGAGUCAGACGCUCAACUGACUGAGACACCCAGGCGCCCCUGAGUUCCGGGGUUUUGAAAUGACUGCCAUGGCCCACAUGAAGCGUUUUGAAUCAGAGCUACGCUCAACCCAACUGCCUCUUCCUCAUGCCUAUAUGUCACAGGGUUCAGGUGUCCCAUUACUUGGGAGGGAUUAGCUCAGUGAAAUCUAGAGCUAGAGAGGCCCUUGCAUUUCAACGCGUGCAGAGACAGCCAUUACCUAUGGCUGUGGCUGCUACUCUCCAAGGCCUUUCUCAUGGCCAUUGUUGACCAUGACCCCCCUCUCCGCCAUCUUUCCCUCUGAGUCCAAAUGUGACAUCAUGGUCACACCAGGCAGAGGAUGGGCAGGGCGAGGCCAGGAAGCAAGGCUCAGGACCCUGGGGCGAUCGAGCUGAACAAGACAGCCGAGCCUCCUGCUCUGGAGAAGGUUGCAGACUAACGAGAGUAGAUCAUAACAAAUAUGCAAGAUGAUUUCAGGUAACAGCAGGUUCCGCCAAGAAAAUAAGCCCAUGGUAAUGAAGGAGAUAGGUGAAGGGGGAAAGCUUUAAAGGGCAGGUCAGCUGAGGCUGGCCUGGGCUCGGUGGGUUCCACAUCUGGAAAGGAGGACAGGGAGUCUGGAGGGUGGGAACAAGGGGUCCUGUCAAGAUGUGGUGUCAGGACAGCAGGGCAAGGCGUCUGGGGCCGUGACUGGGGGUUCCACAGCCCCAUGUAAGGACGAGAUGUUACUGCAAGAUUUUCAGUGGGGAUAUGACAUGAUCUCAUUUAUGUUAUUUUCUUUUUUCAUUAAAAAAUUGAGGUAUUAGGGAGCCUGGGUGGCUCAGUCGGUCAAGCACCUGACUUCAGCUCAGGUCAGGAUCUCGCGGUUUACGGGUUCGAGCCCUGGUUCGGGCUCUGUGAGCCCGAGGCUCAGAGUCUGGAGCCUGCUUCAGAUUCUGUGUCUCCCUGUCUCUCUGCCCCUCCCCUGCUCACGCGGUCUCUCUCACUUUCAAAACAUAAAUAAACAUUUAAAAAAAUCGUUUUAGGUCAAGGUAUUAAAUAGAUUUAGGGGGUGCGUUGGUGCACACAUCUUGGGAACGUCUCAGUGAAUUUUCCCACGUGUUCGCCUGUGUUGCACCCACAUCAAAACAUAGGACAGUUCUGGAACCCCAGGAAUUUUCUGUUUCUGAAAGAUCCCUGUGGCCGCUCCGUGGAGAAUGCAGGGCAGGGAGGUGAGUCCAAACAGGGAGACCCGUCAGAGGCGAGUACGGCCAUCCAGGCUUGGAUUAGGGUAGAUGCGGUGGAAAGAGAAAAUGGUGGGUUUGGGAGGCUUUUUGGUCGAAGUGCCAAUAAGAGCUGCUGACAGAAGGACUAGUGUGAGCCAGAGCAACAGAGACAUUGAGAAGACACGUCAGAUCUUUUGGCUUUGACCAUGGCACAUUGUAGGGCGAUGGGGAACAAGGGAAGGAUUGUGCUGGGGAAUGGGGUAGGGCAACGUGGGGCGAUCCCUUUGACCUGGUAAAGUGAGAUGCCAUGGCCACCCUCUGCCUCCCCCAGAUCCCAGAUCAGAGCCCCCCAGAAACGAGUCACUGGAAUGGUGAGAGCUGAUAGCAAGCGUCCCCGACUGGCCUAAGGACAGAGAAGCACCGUCCCCGGCUAGCCCGAGGGCUUCAGGAGAGGUAGGGGGAGGGCGGCUUUGGGCGGACAGCGUUCGCUCUCAGCUGUGUCCCUUGGAAAGCUGGGUCACUGGAAGGAGAGGUGCAGAGCGGGGCGUGACGCUGGCUUCUCACUCAGGAGCCAUCUGCUCACUAAUGCAAACAGCCCCGUCUGUCAGGCCAGGCGAGGAAAAAUGACUGGGGCAGCCCCAUCGCCGAGCCGAGGGAGAGGGGUCUCUGGACCCAUGAGGUAAUCCCUCCGGUGAUGUAUGGCCCAGAGAAGAGCUGGGUUAAUGAUCUUCUGCAGGACCCGGGAGUAAAACACAGUAAUUUCAUAAUACCGCGUGUGAUGGAUUAAGGCGUGUUAAUACCAGGAGUAUACAUUAAGGGAAAUGAUCUUGCUGGCAUGCUAAAUGGCAAAAUAAAAGCACUUUUAGAAACUUCCGUGAUUAAUUGGUCUGCCCUUUUAGUUCCGUACCAUGAUAAAGUAAAGCUCACUUCUCCUGGUCACCUCCCAGGCAAUUCCUCUAAAUCCCCCAGCCCUCCAAGGACCCCCCGGGAGGGCCAGCCUCGGGGGAGAGCCCAGACCUGCAGCCUGGGACGUGCCCCCACGUCGUCUCCCUUUCCUGCUCUUACUUGACCAUUUGAGGUCCCAC